rnacentral:rRNA from 1 species
CCUACGGGGGGCAGCAGUGAGGAAUAUUGGUCAAUGGACGAGAGUCUGAACCAGCCAAGUAGCGUGAAGGAUGACGGCCCUAUGGGUGGUAAACUUCUUUUAUAUGGGAAUAAAACAGGAUAUGCAUACCCUCUUGUAGGUACCAUAUGAAUAAGGAUCGGCUAACUCCGUGCCAGCAGCCGCGGUAAUACGGAGGAUCCGAGCGUUAUCCGGAUUGAUUGGGUUUAAAGGGAGCGUAGGUGGAUUGUUAAGUCAGUUGUGAAAGUUUGCGGCUCAACCGAAAAAUUGCAGUUGAAACUUGCAGUCUUGAGUACAGUAGAGGUGGGCGGAAUUCGUGGUGUAGCGGUGAAAUGCUUAGAUAUCCCGAAGAACCCCGAUUGCGAAGGCAGCCUGCCGCCGCGUUACUGACGCUGAAGCUCGAAAGCGCGGGUAUCGAACAGGAUUAGAUACCCUUGUAGUC